rnacentral:rRNA from 1 species
CUCGUAGGCGGUUCGUCGCGUCCGGUGUGAAAGUCCAUCGCUUAACGGUGGAUCCGCGCCGGGUACGGGCGGGCUUGAGUGCGGUAGGGAAGACUGGAAUUCCCGGUGUAACGGUGGAAUGUGUAGAUAUCGGGAAGAACACCAAUGGCGAAGGCAGGUCUCUGGGCCGUUACUGACGCUGAGGAGCGAAAGCGUGGGGAGCGAACA